rnacentral:rRNA from 1 species
GACGAACGCUGGCGGCGUGCUUAACACAUGCCAGUCGAACGGAAAGGCCCUGCUUUUGUGGGGUGCUCGAGUGGCGAACGGGUGAGUAACACGUGAGUAACCUGCCCUUGACUUUGGGAUAACUUCAGGAAACUGGGGCUAAUACUGAUAGGAGCUCCUGCUGCAUGGUGGGGGUUGGAAAGUUUCGGCGGUUGGGGAUGGACUCGCGGCUUAUCAGCUUGUUGGUGGGGUAGUGGCUUACCAAGGCUUUGACGGGUAGCCGGCCUGAGAGGGUGACCGGCCACAUUGGGACUGAGAUACGGCCCAGACUCCUACGGGAGGCAGCAGUGGGGAAUAUUGCACAAUGGGCGGAAGCCUGAUGCAGCAACGCCGCGUGCGGGAUGACGGCCUUCGGGUUGUAAACCGCUUUCGCCUGUGACGAAGCGUGAGUGACGGUAAUGGGUAAAGAAGCACCGGCUAACUACGUG